rnacentral:rRNA from 1 species
UACAGAGGGGGCAAGCGUUGUUCGGAAUUACUGGGCGUAAAGGGCGCGUAGGCGGCCUGCUAAGUCGAACGUGAAAUCCCCGGGCUCAACCCGGGAACUGCGUCCGAUACUGGUUGGCUUGAAUCCGGGAGAGGGAUGCGGAAUUCCAGGUGUAGCGGUGUAAUGCGUAGAUAUCUGGAGGAACACCGGUGGCGAAGGCGGCAUCCUGGACCGGCAUUGACGCUGAGGCGCGAAAGCCAGGGGAGCAAACGGG